rnacentral:rRNA from 1 species
AGGGGGAUAACUACUGGAAACGGUAGCUAAUACCGCAUGCCUCGCAAGAGCAAAGUGGGGGACCUUCGGGCCUCACGCCAUCGGAUGUGCCCAGAUGGGAUUAGCUAGUAGGUGAGGUAAUGGCUCACCUAGGCGACGAUCCCUAGCUGGUCUGAGAGGAUGACCAGCCACACUGGAACUGAGACACGGUCCAGACUCCUACGGGAGGCAGCAGUGGGGAAUAUUGCACAAUGGGCGCAAGCCUGAUGCAGCCAUGCCGCGUGUGUGAAGAAGGCCUUCGGGUUGUAAAGCACUUUCAGCGAGGAGGAAGGCAUUAAGGUUAAUAACCUUAGUGAUUGACGUUACUCGCAGAAGAAGCACCGGCUAACUCCGUGCCAGCAGCCGCGGUAAUACGGAGGGUGCAAGCGUUAAUCGGAAUUACUGGGCGUAAAGCGCACGCAGGCGGUUUGUUAAGUCAGAUGUGAAAUCCCCGAGCUUAACUUGGGAACUGCAUUUGAAACUGGCAAGCUAGAGUCUUGUAGAGGGGGGUAGAAUUCCAGGUGUAGCGGUGAAAUGCGUA